GUGCAGCAGGCGCGAAAAUUUUGCAAUGCGCGCAAGCGUGACAAAGUCAUCCCGAGUGCCACCCGCUGAGGGUGGCUUUUCCACAGUCUAAAAAGCUGUGGGAAUAAGGGGAGGGUAAGUCGGGUGUCAGCCGCCGCGGUAAUACCCGCUCCCCGAGUGGUGGGGGCUUUUACUGAGCUUAAAGCGCCCGUAGCCGGUCAUGCGUGUCUCCAGUUAAAUCCAGCAGCCUAACUGCUGGGCCGCUGGAGAUACUGUAUGACUUGGAGGCGGGAGAGGCUACCGGUAGUCCCGGGGUAGGGGCGAAAUCCUAUAAUCCCGGAAGGACCACCAGUGGCGAAGGCGGCCGACAAAAACGCGCCCGACGGUGAGGGACGAAAGCUGGGGGAGCGAUCGGGAUUAGAUACCCCGGUAGUCC
rnacentral:rRNA from 1 species